rnacentral:RNase_P_RNA from 1 species
UGGAGUGGGCGCAUGAUCGCUCCGGCACUUGCCGGAGAGGAAAGUCCGGACUCUACAGGGCAGGAUGGUUCGUAACGCGAACCUUGGGCGACCAAGGGAAAGUGCCACAGAAAACAGACCGCCUGUUUUUCAGGUAAGGGUGAAAAGGCGAGGUAAGAGCUCACCGCCUUCAUGGUGACAUGAAGGGCACGGUAAACCCCAUCCGGAGCAAGACCAAAUAGGGAGAUGUUUGAGGGCUGCCCGUCCGAAAUCUCCGGGUAGGUUGCAAGAGGUGUUGGGCGACCAACAUCCCAGUGAAAUGAUCAUGGCCCCGCAAGGGGUACAGAAUCCGGCUUACAGCCCACUCCAUUUU